UGCGGGGCAUGGUUCAUUUGANAGCGUUGUGUCUUGCAAACGUGAGUGCGUGUGAGUGGUGAUCGGGAUGGUUGUGCUGUUUGGCUCCUUGCUCAUGGUUUUGGAACUUCUAGCAUGCAACCCUUCUCAUGCAUGCCUUGUGCUGGUGAGCCUCGGUUUUCACUUGUGGUUCUUGUGUUGCCUACCCAUUAAGCGGUAUCAUACGUGUGCCGCGAAGACCCGUUCCUUCCGUGCCCCCUCGUGGAGGUUGAUGGGGGAAUUCUAAUUUGAUGUGUGUUUUGCGUUAGUUGUGCGUUGUAACGGCUCACGUGCCCACACAUGUCUAUUGUUCCCUUGGAUGCGGUGCAUGCGAUGAACGUGGGCUGGUGUUUGUGCCUCGUUAAGUCCCUAUGAUAUAUCGGUUGCCUUUUCAAGACACUUUGCCGUAGNGCCGGUCUUGCUAUCCCAUUGGUGGUGGCAU
rnacentral:misc_RNA from 1 species